rnacentral:rRNA from 1 species
AACGAACGCUGGCGGCAUGCCUAACACAUGCAAGUCGAACGAAGUCUUCGGACUUAGUGGCGCACGGGUGCGUAACGCGUGGGAAUCUGCCCUUGGGUACGGAAUAACUCAGAGAAAUUUGUGCUAAUACCGUAUAAUGUCUUCGGACCAAAGAUUUAUCGCCCAAGGAUGAGCCCGCGUAAGAUUAGCUAGUUGGUGGGGUAAAAGUCUACCAAGGCGACGAUCUUUAGCUGGUCUGAGAGGAUGAUCAGCCACACUGGGACUGAGACACGGCCCAGACUCCUACGGGAGGCAGGAGUGGGGAAUAUUGGAAAAUGGGCGAAAGCCUGAUCCAGCCAUGCCGCGUGAGUGAUGAAGGCCCUAGGGUUGUAAAGCUCUUUUACCAGGGAUGAUAAUGACAGUACCUGGAGAAUAAGCGCCGGCUAACUCCGUG